AGCGGCGGACGGGUGAGUAAUGCUUAGGAAUCUGCCUAUUAGUGGGGGACAACAUUCCGAAAGGAAUGCUAAUACCGCAUACGUCCUACGGGAGAAAGCAGGGGAUCUUCGGACCUUGCGCUAAUAGAUGAGCCUAAGUCGGAUUAGCUAGUUGGUGGGGUAAAGGCCUACCAAGGCGACGAUCUGUAGCGGGUCUGAGAGGAUGAUCCGCCACACUGGGACUGAGACACGGCCCAGACUCCUACGGGAGGCAGCAGUGGGGAAUAUUGGACAAUGGGGGGAACCCUGAUCCAGCCAUGCCGCGUGUGUGAAGAAGGCCUUAUGGUUGUAAAGCACUUUAAGCGAGGAGGAGGCUACUGAGACUAAUACUCUUGGAUAGUGGACGUUACUCGCAGAAUAAGCACCGGCUAACUCUGUGCCAGCAGCCGCGGUAAUACAGAGGGUGCGAGCGUUAAUCGGAUUUACUGGGCGUAAAGCGUGCGUAGGCGGCUUUUUAAGUCGGAUGUGAAAUCCCCGAGCUUAACUUGGGAAUUGCAUUCGAUACUGGGAAGCUAGAGUAUGGGAGAGGAUGGUAGAAUUCCAGGUGUAGCGGUGAAAUGCGUAGAGAUCUGGAGGAAUACCGAUGGCGAAGGCAGCCAUCUGGCCUAAUACUGACGCUGAGGUACGAAAGCAUGGGGAGCAAACAGGAUUAGAUACCCUGGUAGUCCAUGCCGUAAACGAUGUCUACUAGCCGUUGGGGCCUUUGAGGCUUUAGUGGCGCAGCUAACGCGAUAAGUAGACCGCCUGGGGAGUACGGUCGCAAGACUAAAACUCAAAUGAAUUGACGGGGGCCCGCACAAGCGGUGGAGCAUGUGGUUUAUUUCGAUGCAACGCGAAGAACCUUACCUGGCCUUGACAUACUAGAAACUUUCCAGAGAUGGAUUGGUGCCUUCGGGAAUCUAGAUACAGGUGCUGCAUGGCUGUCGUCAGCUCGUGUCGUGAGAUGUUGGGUUAAGUCCCGCAACGAGCGCAACCCUUUUCCUUACUUGCCAGCAUUUCGGAUGGGAACUUUAAGGAUACUGCCAGUGACAAACUGGAGGAAGGCGGGGACGACGUCAAGUCAUCAUGGCCCUUACGGCCAGGGCUACACACGUGCUACAAUGGUCGGUACAAAGGGUUGCUACACAGCGAUGUGAUGCUAAUCUCAAAAAGCCGAUCGUAGUCCGGAUUGGAGUCUGCAACUCGACUCCAUGAAG
rnacentral:rRNA from 1 species